UAGGGAAUCUUCCACAAUGGGCGCAAGCCUGAUGGAGCAACACCGCGUGAGUGAAGAAGGGUUUCGGCUCGUAAAGCUCUGUUGUUAAAGAAGAACACGUAUGAGAUUAACUGUUCAUACGUUGACGGUAUUUAACCAGAAAGUCACGGCUAACUACGUGCCAGCAGCCGCGGUAAUACGUAGGUGGCAAGCGUUAUCCGGAUUUAUUGGGCGUAAAGAGGGUGCAGGCGGUUUUCUAAGUCUGAUGUGAAAGCCUUCGGCUUAACCGGAGAAGUGCAUCGGAAACUGGAUAACUUGAGUGCAGAAGAGGGUAGUGGAACUCCAUGUGUAGCGGUGGAAUGCGUAGAUAUAUGGAAGAACACCAGUGGCGAAGGCGGCUACCUGGUCUGCAACUGACGCUGAGACUCGAAAGCAUGGGUAGCGAACAGGAUUAGAUACCCUGGUAGUCCAUGCCGUAAACGAUGAGUGCUAGGUGUUGGAGGGUUUCCGCCCUUCAGUGCCGGAGCUAACGCAUUAAGCACUCCGCCUGGGGAGUACGACCGCAAGGUUG
rnacentral:rRNA from 1 species